GCCGAGGGUGCCGUCUUGGGAGAGGGGUUAUUCUGCCCUUUUGAGUUUAUCUUUGUUCCCGGGGAGUCCCUGAGAUUUCAGCAACUUUGUAACUAAGGACACCAUGAAAAGGACACCCAGUGUAUUAUACAGAGGAUCAGAAAGGAGACCUGUGCAAGGAUCUCCUUGGCAGGUUCCAUUUGAGCCGUGGAAAAUGCAAUGAAGCGGCCAACUGUGUGUAUAGAUUUGCCUGACAGAAGCCCAGACUGACUCUGGCUAUGCAGGAAGAGGAUUGCUUACAAAACUCUGAACGGAGCUGCUUACCCAUGAAGCAUCCUCUCCAACACUAGCACUUCAGAUGCUGGCACUGUUGUACCAGUCUCUAAGUACGUGUGUGUUCCUGCUUCAGACUGGUGAAAUUAAAGAAAAUGUAUCACUUGCUUAACACAUAGACUAUGGUUUUUUUCUGACUUUCUACUAAAUAAAUUUUUUUCACUCUCUUCUUCUUGGAAGAA